CACCUGUUAAAAUAGAAAAAAAUUAUAUUAUAGUUAUAAGCAUUAGUCUUAUAAUAUUAUUAAAUAUAUUGUUGUUAAAGGAUACAUUCAAAAAUAUAUAUUAUAUAGGCCUAUAUUAUAAGAACCAGAAAAGUAAAAAAAAAAAAAAAUAGAGUAGGUUUGGGUUAUUCAUUAUAGGCAUUACUUUCAUAUAUUAUUAUAAAACCAUCAGAAAAUACAUAAAAUUAUAAAACACAAAAAAAUUAGGUUAGUUUAUCUAGGUUAUAUUAUAUUAAAAAGUAUAGUGUUACAGAAAACCCCCAAAAAAUUAAUAAAAUUAUAAAACACAAAAAAAUUAGGUUAGUUUAUCUAGGUUGUAUUAUAUUAACAAGUAUAGUUACAGAAAACCCCCAAAAAAUAAUAAAAUUAUAAAACACAAAAAA